CGUACACUCCUGCGGGAGGCAGCAGUGGGGAAUAUUGGACAAUGGGCGCAAGCCUGAUCCAGCCAUGCCGCGUGAGUGAUGAAGGCCCUAGGGUUGUAAAGCUCUUUCACCGGUGAAGAUAAUGACGGUAACCGGAGAAGAAGCCCCGGCUAACUUCGUGCCAGCAGCCGCGGUAAUACGAAGGGGGCUAGCGUUGUUCGGAUUUACUGGGCGUAAAGCGCACGUAGGCGGACUAUUAAGUCAGGGGUGAAAUCCCGGGGCUCAACCCCGGAACUGCCUUUGAUACUGGUAGUCUUGAGUUCGAGAGAGGUGAGUGGAAUUCCGAGUGUAGAGGUGAAAUUCGUAGAUAUUCGGAGGAACACCAGUGGCGAAGGCGGCUCACUGGCUCGAUACUGACGCUGAGGUGCGAAAGCGUGGGGAGCAAACAGGAUUAGAUACCCGGGUAGUCCCAUG
rnacentral:rRNA from 1 species